GUGCUCACUUUGGCAGCACAUAUACAGAGAAGAUUAUCACGGCCCCUGCGCAAGGAUGACAUGCAAAUUUGUGAAACAGUCCAUAUUUUU
rnacentral:snRNA from 1 species